rnacentral:lncRNA from 1 species
UAGCGUUCUUCAACAAAGGUAACUCUCUUGUUUCAAUCUUGAAUGUUUGUUUAGUGGGAUGAAAACAUAGACAUCAUCAUACAUGAUUAGUAUAUAAAAAAUUUACAACCAAAUAUAAUUUAUAGAAGAAAAACAACUAAAAACAUUUGUCCCAUGAUGCUUCUUUCAAUGUUAUCUACAAAAUUCCCAAAAAAAAACUGAUGAGGAUGGAUAAUAUAUGAACGACGAACAGUAAUUAAGACUACUCAUAUUACAAAUCUCUGUUAAUGGUUUAAGGAGAAAUCAUAUCAAGACUUCUCUGGUAUUAUCCAAAUCUCAAAUUAGUCACUUCAAUGUUUUUGUUACUUUAGUAUAAGCAACACUUACCAACAAAUAAUCUUUUAUUUAAAAUAAGUUUCUUACCUGAUUUUUUUACUAUAAAAUGUGCCUAUGCUUAGUACCCUGAAAUUGUUUGAUCCAUAAACCAUAGUACUUACUCGUAAGCACCUUGACAUAUGCCUUCUUCAUUGUGUGAUGCAUUUUUGACCUCUUUCAACAUUAAAAUACAUAAGAUUAGUAAGUGGAAUGAAAGAUAUAAUUGAGUAUUAGUUCUUAUCUCAUGUAGAGACUUACAAUAUAAUUAAUUAGCAAGAAAACGACUUAAAUAGGUGUCUUCCAAUUCACCAUAUUGCACCAAGACAUUUGAGUAGUUUGAGGUAGGUGACCAGAAGGUGUAGCCAGAUUUUUUUGCUGUCGUUUUCCUCUCUAGAGAUGGCGAGAGUAUUUGGUAAGUUAAAAAUGAUUAAAG